rnacentral:rRNA from 2 species
AAAUUGAAGAGUUUGAUCAUGGCUCAGAUUGAACGCUGGCGGCAGGCCUAACACAUGCAAGUCGAGCGGCAGCGGGAAAGUAGCUUGCUACUUUUGCCGGCGAGCGGCGGACGGGUGAGUAAUGCCUGGGAAAUU